rnacentral:lncRNA from 1 species
GAAUCACUAGGCGCCGGCGCCUCCGAGGCAGUGUGUUUCCGCCCAGAGCUGGAGUCUCCCAGCUGCCAGCCGACCCCGAACCCGCACUCCCGCCAACCGCGCUUUUUGUGGGCGGUCGGAAACCACAGCCUCCGUUGGAUAUGUUCGGUGCAUGUUAUAAACAACCACUUAAACCCUCCGGAUCUGAGCCUCCCGCAGAGGAAUGCAGAAUGACGCCACGGCACGCAGGAUGUGAUGUCACCGAGAUGCAGAGGAUACUCAGUCAACCAACAUUUACUGAGCAUCUACUUCGUGCCGUAUGUACGAAGCUAGCAAAUAUGUACAGCACCAGUACUGAUUGCAGGGAGCACUGUAGAAGAGGAAUGAAGGCCAAACAAUUAAAAGCGGAGGCGGGGAGGUCUUGUCAACGGAAAGGGGUCCCUAUCCAGACCCCAAGAGAGCAUUCUUGGAUCUCUUGCAAGAAAGAAUUUGAGGCGAAUCCAUAGAGUAAGCUUAGUGAUGUGUGUCAGACCUCUGAGCCCAAGCAAAGCCAUCAUAUCCCCUGUGACCUGCAUGUAUACAUCCAGAUGGCCUGAAGCAAGUGAAGAAUCACAAAAGAAGUGAAAAGGGCCGGUUCCUGCCUUAACUGAUGACAUUCCACCAUUGUGAUUUGUUCCUGCCCCACCUUAACUGAGCGAUUAACCUGUGAACUUCCUUCUCCUGGCUCAGAAGCUUCCCCACUGAGCACCUUGUGACCCCCGCCCCUGCCUGCCAUAGAACAACCCCCUUUGAUUGUAAUUUUCCUUUACCUACCCAAAUCCUAUAAAACGGCCCCACCCCUAUCUCCCUUCGCUGACACUCUCUUUGGACUCAGCCUGCCUGCACCUAGGUGAUUAAAAAGCUUUAUUGCUCACGCAAA